UGUUGAUGCACUUUUGGCAGCAAUUACAGCCUCAAGUCUUCUUGGGUAUGAUGCUACAAGCUUUGCACAACUGUAUUUGGGGAGUUUCUCCCAUUCUUUUCUGCAGAUCCUCUCAAGCUCUGUCAGCUUGGAUGGGGAGUGAUACUGCACAGCUAUUUUCAGGUCUCUCCAAAAAUGAUCAAUGGAAACAGACUUGCCCCGAAACCACUCCUGCAUUGUCUUGACAGUGUGUGUUUAGGGUCGUUGUCCUGGUGGAAUGUGAACCUUAGUCCCAGUCUGAGGUCCUGAGCAGGUUUUCAUCAAGGAUCUCUCUGUACCUUUCAUCUUUCCCUCAAUUCUGACUAGUCUUCCAGUCCCUGCCUAUGAAAAACAUUCACACAGCAUGAUGCUGCCACCACCAUGCUUCACCGUAGGGAUGGUGCCAGAUUGCCUCCAGACGUGAUGCUUGGCAUUCAGUGACAAAAGGGGUGGACGGCACAAGGACUAGUUUGCCUCUAUUUUGUUUAGACAGUGCUGUUUGGCUUUGCCUCUCAGCCUGCUUCUCAAAUACAAACCUGACCACAGGCCCAAACAACACAGAACAGGAAGACCCUGCUGCAGAACAGAGUCUAUAGUCUUCAUAGACGACACCACCACUUCCUCAGCAAAUAAUGAGUGAGACCCUGCUGCAGAACAGAGUCUAUAGUCUUCAUAGACGACACCACCACUUCCUCAGCAAAUAAUGAGUGGCCAUGGCAUGCUGUGAACUUUUAUCUGCUAACUGUUUUAUAUGUUUGGGAUCAAGAUGGUUAUUAGUGAUUCCAGCUUGCUUACAGCGCUCAGAGAGGACCAUAGACAAAAAAAAACAUUCAAGCUGUCAAAAUUCUUCAUAAAACAUAACUAUUGUUAAGCUUCCCACCACACACCUAACAUUCCUCAGAAAAUAAAUGAUCUUCUUUGACCCAGAACAUAUUUUAGGGCAAAAUGCAAUGCACUGUUUAAACAGAGAUUAUCACAACGUUCAAAAUGACAAAAUAUUGUCUUGUUUUAUAUCAUGAUGGAAAAGCAUGAAGUUUUCCUACAAAAUGUUUUCUAAUCAUAACGCUAGAGCAUUCUCCAAUUUUAAGUUCAGAUCGCCCAUUUUAAAUCACUCUUUACAUUACGCUUGUUUUAUGAAAAAAGACUACAGAUGUUUCAUACAGAUGCUUCUUAACUUGCCUUAUAUUACAUUAGAUUAAUACAUUUGCCUUUAAACAUGGACAAGCUUGGGAUUUAUCCACAAAUCGAGUCUAUUGAUAUAGAUAAGGGAUAAGAUGAGAGUUGAAGAGUGAAGUUCUCGUUUAUAACACGUGACAAAUAAAAAUGUGAUUGAUGAACAAACUUGGCUCUUUGCAGCUACUUAGUUUUUUUCCACCUCUGUCUUGUUACGCUGUCUUCGUGUGUGCUUGGACAGCUCUGACGAGGACAUAUAACAUCAUCAUGGCCCAUGAUUGGUGACUCUGCAUUGGCAUUAUGACUAUGUUCAGAAUUGUAUGUGUUGAUCAGACAUGUAUUUGAUCAUUUAAAAAUAGGCCAGCAUAGUCAAAAUAUUGAGAAAUAACAGUGAAACAUGACAUAAAAAAAAUAUAUUAGAGCAGUAAGCCUAAUAUAGGCACCUGGCCCGGCCUACACUGUGCAGGACUCCAUUGAUUCAUACAAUUUGUCAAACUAAUUUCCCAUCCAAAUGCAAAAACAUAUAAAAAGUGACAAAAUGGGAUAUCACAUGAAUUACUUAAACUUUAGGAAAUGCAACCAACUACAGAGAUUGAUGGGGAGGGGAGUGGGAGAGGCACCCAUAAACCCCACUUCAAUCAAGCAGGCUUCAGUCACCCACUUUUGCUUCAGUCAUC
ensembl:lncRNA